UACCGCGGUUAUACGAGAGGCCCAAGUUGACAGACACCGGCGUAAAGAGUGGUUAAGGACAAAUAUUUCACUAAAGCUGAACACUUACAAAGCUGUCAUACGCAUCCGAGAGUAAGAAAAACAACUACGAAGGUGGCUUUAUAACACCUGAACCCACGAAAGCCAAGACA
rnacentral:rRNA from 1 species